rnacentral:rRNA from 1 species
CCUACGGGAGGCAGCAGUGAGGAAUAUUGGUCAAUGGACGAGAGUCUGAACCAGCCAAGUAGCGUGAAGGAUGACUGCCCUAUGGGUUGUAAACUUCUUUUAUAUGGGAAUAAAACGUUCCACGUGUGGGAUUUUGUAUGUACCAUAUGAAUAAGGAUCGGCUAACUCCGUGCCAGCAGCCGCGGUAAUACGGAGGAUCCGAGCGUUAUCCGGAUUUAUUGGGUUUAAAGGGAGCGUAGGUGGAUUGUUAAGUCAGUUGUGAAAGUUUGCGGCUCAACCGUAAAAUUGCAGUUGAAACUGGCAGUCUUGAGUACAGUAGAGGUGGGCGGAAUUCGUGGUGUAGCGGUGAAAUGCUUAGAUAUCACGAAGAACUCCGAUUGCGAAGGAAGUUCACUGGACUGCAACUGACACUGAGGCUCGAAAGUGUGGGUAUCAAACAGGAUUAGAUACCCUAGUAGUC